CCAAGGAGUCCAACACGUGCGCGAGUCAUUGGGUCUUACGAAACCUAAAGGCGCAGUGAAAGCGAAGGCGAGUUCGGCUCGUCCGCGGUGAGAUCUGCGGGGCUGGAAAUUUUUUCCCCGCGGCGCAUCACCGGCCCGUCGCCUCGCGCGGCGGAGCGAGAGCGCACGCGUUGGGACCCGAAAGAUGGUGAACUAUGCCUGAGCAGGACGAAGCCAGAGGAAACUCUGGUGGAAGUCCGCAGCGAUUCUGACGUGCAAAUCGAUCGUCACACUUGGGUAUAGGGGCGAAAGACUAAUCGAACCAUCUAGUAGCUGGUUCCCUCCGAAGUUUCCCUCAGGAUAGCUGGCGCUCAUUUUGAGCAGUUUUAUCCGGUAAAGCGAAUGAUUAGAGGCCUUGGGGUCGAAACGUCCUCAACCUAUUCUCAAACUUUAAAUGGGUAAGGCGCCGGACUCGCUCGAUGUUUUUUGGAGUCCCGGCCUUGAAUGCGAGUGGCCAAGUGGGCCACUUUUGUUGGGCCAUGGACUACUAAAUUAUUGAAAAUAAUAAAGUCCGCCCCAUUUGGUCGAAAGGGAAUCUGGUUAAUAUUCCAGAACCCGGCCACGGAGAUUGACCCCGCUCGAGGGGUCGCGUGCGGCAACGCAACCGAAGUCGGAGACGUCGGCGGGAGUCCCGGGAAGAGUUUUCUUUUCUUUGUAAGGGUCCCCUCUCCCUGGAAUCGAAUUACUCGGCGAUAGGGAAACGGGGAAGAAGUCUGUCCCGUAAAGCACCGCGGCUCUUGCGGUGUCCGGUGCACUCCCGACGGCCCUUGAAAAUCCGACGGAGACGGUGUUAAUUUCGUGCCGGGCCGUAC
rnacentral:rRNA from 1 species